GUUUGAGCAAGACAACGAAGUCGGACGACGACGACGUGGUUGACAAUUUUUGCCUGUCUUGCACAUUAGCUUGCGCAUUCUGAGUUUAGGGUCAGGGUGAAGACAGAUUAGACAUGCAUGUCUAGCUGUUUGUGAAUGCUGACACAAAUCCCUACCCUGAUCAGGAUAAAACAGCGAGACAUGAAUCCAUAUCCCGUCUUCGUCUUCUGCCUUCGUUCACAACGAAUAUUUUGGCAAAAUUCGUUGUGAACUUCGUUCUGCACGAAGGCAGAAGGACAAAGACGGUAUAUAGUUUCAUGUCUCGCUGGGUUUUUUUCUGGAUCAGGGCAAGAAUUAUGGUCAGUAUUCAUAAACAGCGACACAUGGGAAGACACGUUGUGCAAACACCAGUGACGUUCAACUCAGUAUGCGCAAGAUAAUGUACAGGCGGCAAAUAUUGUCAAGUAUGCCUUCGUCUUCGUACUUCGUUGUCUUGCUCAAACUCUCUA
rnacentral:lncRNA from 1 species